rnacentral:rRNA from 1 species
AGUGGCGGACGGGUGAGGAACACGUAGGCGACCUGCCCCGAAGAGGGGGACAACAGUUUGAAAAGACUGCUAAUACCCCAUAAGCUCACGCGAAUUAGAACCGCGUGAGAAAAUGCUCCGGCGCUUCGGGAGGGACCUGCGGCCCAUCAGCUAGUUGGUAGGGUAACGGCCUACCAAGGCGAGGACGGGUAGGGGGCCUGAGAGGGUGGUCCCCCACACGGGCACUGAGAAACGGGCCCGACUCCUACGGGAGGCAGCAGUAAGGGAUAUUGCACAAUGGGCGCAAGCCUGAUGCAGCAACGCCGCGUGCCCGAUGAAGGCCUUCGGGUCGUAAAGGGCUUUUCUGGCUGAAGAGAACGGACAGUAAGCCAGGAAUAAGUGUCGGCUAACUACGUGCCAGCAGCCGCGGUAAAACGUAGGACGCAAGCGUUAUCCGGAGUUACUGGGCGUAAAGCGUGGGCAGGCGG